rnacentral:rRNA from 1 species
AUGCCCAAUGGCGCUCAGACUCCGACUGAGGAGGGGGAAGGCAGCGGCGGCGAGAGCCAGGAAGAGUGGGAUUCAGACGCUGCAGAAGACGACGAUGACGACGAUGAUGAUGACGAGGAUGAUGACGACGAGGAUGAAGAGGAGGAGGAGGCACCACCGCGCUCGGAAAGGCGGUCAAAACUUGUGCACGACCCUUCGGCUGAACGCGGCAAGGGAGUGGCGACUGCUUCACAGUCGACCAAACGCCCUCGUCCCGCUUCUCCGGUGCCGACUGAGAAGGCGCCGAAGCAGUCGAAAGUAGCUCCGUCGAGGACGACCAAGCCUCUGCCAAAGAUGAAGGUAGCCAUCCCCACCAUUUCAGCGGCUGCGACUUCCGAAACCUCAGGCAAGGCUGAGGACUAUGAGAUGGAGGACGCGGCGACUUCAAAUCCCGGUACUACAACUUUAAAUCUUGUUCUUGGUCGACUGAUGCAUAAUUUCUGA